rnacentral:rRNA from 1 species
AUACGUAGGGUGCGAGCGUUAAUCGGAAUUACUGGGCGUAAAGCGUGCGCAGGCGGUUGUGUAAGACAGGCGUGAAAUCCCCGGGCUCAACCUGGGAACUGCGCUUGUGACUGCACAGCUAGAGUACGGCAGAGGGGGUGGAAUUCCACGUGUAGCAGUGAAAUGCGUAGAGAUGUGGAGGAACACCGAUGGCGAAGGCAGCCCCUGGGCCGAUACUGACGCUCAUGCACGAAAGCGUGGGUAGC